rnacentral:lncRNA from 1 species
CAGAACUCUAAAGACCACUGACACUUAUGGGAUGUGCAGAUCAGAGCAGGUGGCCAAACUGAAAAGGAACGGCCAGAUUGGUGGGAAGCCACAGAGUGAGGGCCACGGCAGCAGCUCCAGAGUCAAGCAGUGGUCAACAGUGGCGAGUGCUUGUGACAUCAGGAAUCCACUGUCUACUUUGAAACAGACUCAUCAUAAGAUGGAGAAUGUCUUUGGAGAAAUCGUGAGAAGGCCAUGCAAAAUAUAUCUUCAAGAAGGACAAGACCCAAACUGCAGGGGACUAGAGAAGCCAAGAUUCCAGUGCCUUCCAGAACCCAGACACCCAGCCCCAACUCAGGGCCUAUUUGGGGAUGUGGACCCUCGCCACUUCAGAAGCGCAAGAAACAAGAGGAGGGAAAAGUAGAAGAGCCUGAGCCUUAAACAACAAAUAUUUCAAAACGAGCACAUUCUCCACAGCUACCAAGUCCAAAGCUACUUUAUAUGUUUCUGAGUUGCCAGAAUGUCUUGUUUCCCCCCAAUAAAAGGUCUCUG